CCACCCCCAUACACGAGUUAUCAGAGCUCUUAUCUCUAGCCACGCGUGUUGAAACAUUCUACAAAUAGUGUUGGUGGCGGUCGCUCUCACUACGAACCCUGCCUUUGGCCAGGAAUGUCUAGUGUAUAGAUAUACUCUACUCGAGUGUUGACGAUACCCCCCAUCGUCACGAUACAAAGACAUGAGUGACGAUACUGACAUCCUCGUAGAUAUCCCAAUGUCCUGUUGGGUCAUAACCGCUGGCUUCGUCGUUUUCGUCAUAAUCGUCUCCGUUGCCAAGUAUUUCAACUGGACUUGUGCUUGUGAGCGCGAGGACUUAGUCCCGACACAGUCUCGUCGUCCGUGACCAGGAUUCUUAUUAAACUGAGAGUGAAGAAGGUUCCAGACUACGUAAUUCCAGAUUUUGGAUCAACAACAGACGAAAAAGAAGCUGCCGGUGUUUUGCAACCAUGAAUAUGACAGAUGACACCCCACAUAAUCAUUUGUCAACAUCUGGGUUUUAAAAUGUGAAAGUAAAUGAAGUUUUCAACCUACUAAUUUUUUGCUUUUCAUACAUUUUUAAAUUAAUAAUUUUAUUUGAUUUUUAUAUUUUUUUUAUAUAGACAUUUCCUUACAUCAUUGAUACAUCAUAAAGUUGAUGUGGUGACAGCCAGGGAUGUUUUUCGAUGUUCAAUGAGAAUUUGAAUGCACGAACCUUAAUGUUAUAACAGUUUGCAUAUCUAUCAUUUAUAUUAUUGUUUAUGUAAAUAUGUAAAAUAAAAUUUGUACGUUCAUUUA